AUUGAACGCUGGCGGCAUGCCUUACACAUGCAAGUCGAACGGCAGCACGGGUGCUUGCACCUGGUGGCGAGUGGCGAACGGGUGAGUAAUACAUCGGAACGUACCCUAUCGUGGGGGAUAACGCAGCGAAAGUUGCGCUAAUACCGCAUACGCCCUGAGGGGGAAAGCGGGGGACCGUAAGGCCUCGCGCGAUUAGAGCGGCCGAUGUCUGAUUAGCUUGUUGGUGAGGUAAAAGCUCACCAAGGCGAUGAUCAGUAGCUGGUCUGAGAGGACGAUCAGCCACACUGGGACUGAGACACGGCCCAGACUCCUACGGGAGGCAGCAGUGGGGAAUUUUGGACAAUGGGGGCAACCCUGACCCAGCAAUGCCGCGUGAGUGAAGAAGGCCUUCGGGUUGUAAAGCUCUUUUGUCAGGGAAGAAACAGCAGCUCUAACACAGUCUGCGAAUGACGGUACCUGAAGAAUAAGCACCGGCUAACUACGUGCCAGCCGCCGCGGUAA
rnacentral:rRNA from 1 species